rnacentral:rRNA from 1 species
AUUGAACGCUGGCGGCAUGCCUUACACAUGCAAGUCGAACGGCAGCACGGGUGCUUGCACCUGGUGGCGAGUGGCGAACGGGUGAGUAAUACAUCGGAACAUGUCCUGUAGUGGGGGAUAGCCCGGCGAAAGCCGGAUUAAUACCGCAUACGAUCUACGGAUGAAAGCGGGGGACCUUCGGGCCUCGCGCUAUAGGGUUGGCCGAUGGCUGAUUAGCUAGUUGGUGGGGUAAAGGCCUACCAAGGCGACGAUCAGUAGCUGGUCUGAGAGGACGACCAGCCACACGGGGACUGGGACACGGCCCAGACGCCUACGGGAGGCAGCAGUGGGGAAUGUUGGACAAUGGGCGAAAGCCUGAUCCAGCAAUGCCGCGUGUGUGAAGAAGGCCUUCGGGUUGUAAAGCACUUUUGUCCGGAAAGAAAUCCUUGGCCCUAAUACGGUCGGGGGAUGACGGUACCGGAAGAAUAAGCACCGGCUAACUACGUG